CUUAUCACAUAGAGAUGAUACCCUGUCAAGAUAUGCUCCAGUUUCUGGGAACAAUUGUUCUAUUGUGCUUGGAGAAUGCCUGGGACAACAUGCUAUUGCCCACUGGCAGAGCCUUACAGGAAUGUCCAGAAAGGAACGCUUGGUGAGCUGACCCUAUAAUACAGGCAACGAAACAUUCCCAAGAAUUUCCUUUAUCAGAGUUAUAAGCAGAAUUUGAGCACUGACCGUCCUUUAAAACAAACAGUUACGUCUUGUCUGAUGGCUGCACCUGGAGAUUCCACCAUUUCUCAGUUAAAUGCUUCACCCAGGAUGAGAGCAGAACCCAAGCACAACCAAGAGGCACGAUCUGUCUGCAUUCCCAGAAUUAAAUUCAUAUUGUCUUCAAAACUGGUGUUCUUACUGCUUAUUGGGAGCGAUACUGGGCCUGUUUGAGCUGCCUCGUUCCUUGCAAUGACUUUGGGCCUUGCUAGUUCAUCCAGACUAAAACCUAAGACUGUGAAUUUAACAAGGUGAACAAGCAAAUCCCAGCACCCCCAUGGUGGUCUGGCAUUGUUUAAUUUACAGAUGUUACAAUUUUGUGUGCGCUGCGCUGAGUUAAUUGACAGAAUGCUCACACUACAAGGCGCGUUUCUCAGACAUCACAUCUGUCUCUUUUCAGCUUUUCUGGCAAAAGAACUUCAUUUUAUAGUACUGUAUACACUUUCUUAGCCUUAGUCUUAACCGAUACUGUCUUAUACUCUUGAGGCUCAAGAAGCAUUGCAGCAAACAGCCACAUUCAGCUGCUAACCUGCCGCUGUUCGAUGGAGAACAUCAGCACUGAGCCCCUAAUGGGUAGGUGCUUGAUGUCUUGAGUUAGGUGGUAUCAUUAAUUAUAAAACCAUAUGAGGCUUUGAAUAAGACCACAGGAAAAGUUGCCUAGAGAGGAGCUACACCCAGAUAGGAGCCCAGGUUCCUCCUGCCUGUUUUCCUUCCUUCUACCCAUAUGUUUUUCCUUUCCAUCUCUAUUGCAGCUCAGUUUCAACAGGAAGCUCACAACCUUUAUGUCUUCUCUGAUGAGAUGUUUCAGGCCAGCAAUUUCUAUCACUGCAUUUGUUUCAUGAGCUCUGGAGAAGAGCUGGUGGACUGUCCCAUCUCCUUGCAUUUAUGUAUGCCACGAAUGCUUUCAGACUCCAUUGUGCUUCUUAUGACUAUGGACCAAGAUGGGAUGUUGGGGGAUUUUUCAGAAGCACUUGAGCUGCCUCCAUAAAAGCCAGCCUUAGUGGAGAAGUGGCUUAGGAUGGAUGGAAGAGUGGUGGAGGAUGGGAAUCGUUGGGCUGCAGCAUUUGAUGGAAAAACAGAUAUUCCCUCUCCGCUCUCCUCCACUACAUCUCACCCGCAUCUACGUCCUGGCAGCAGAACUGUUGAGGUGGAGCACUGCCAUGGGUCAACAAAACUACCUCAAUCUUAGUUCCCUUUAAAAAUAAGAUUUCCUUCUGUUGCAGUGGAAUUAGUGCUGAAUUUUGUACCUAAAUUCUCUGGUCAGUGCUGGGGAGACAUUCAGUAAUUCUGUUCACUGCAAAAUACAGUCAAAGGUUUUGGAGCGAGGACUCCCUGCAGAACCAUACCAGAGAGUCAGAUAAGGUUUGUUUCCUCUCCCUUCAAACUUGCAGUUUAGAUGCACAGCAAUCCAGCUUCACGUGAAGAGGAAAGCACCUCCGGUGGAUGAAACACUCUUGUAUUUGAGUCUCUGAAUCUGGAGGUGGGAAUUGCUUCCUCCAUUGAGAGGGCAAUGUCUCAGCGUUGAGGACUCAGAAGGCUGUGAGAACUACAAAGUCCCGUGUUGGAUGUGCUGAUGCACCCGCUUGCUGAAUUAAACUCCCCAGAGUUUUCAGGGCAGGGAUCCCUUGUGUGUGAAUCCCAGACAGCUUCAGGAGGGGCUGAGGACAGAGACAUGCAGCAAACCUGGGUGGCAGCAUAUCCGUGCAUGGCCAGUUUUGCUUUCUGGUGAAACUUGGGGCUUUUCGAGUCCCUGAGAUUCCCAAGGACUUUGGAAGUUUCAGGUUGCUGGGGGAUCUUACAGUUCCCUGUGUCUGGACAGAGUGAAAUAGGCCAAGCAGAGCAUGAUGCUAAUGCAGCUGAGCACAUCCAUGAACUGGAAUUUAAUAACUGAGAAUAGAUCAGCUCUUCACCGUGGUGGCUGAGUGCUGCCCAGGCUGAAAGUCAUGUUAAUGGCAUUGCAACUACAGGUCUGUAUACUGAGCACACCAAAAUCCAGGCCUGCAUUGCACAGUGACAGACAUGCCUUAUUUGGAGCCUGGAGCAAAACUCAGCAGCGUUUAUAAUGAUGGUGAGAGCAUUACAAUAACUUUAGGCUCAGGUAUUAUAAGAACGUAGAUUUGGAUGGGAGGUUUUGUUCUGCUUGCUUCCCCAGUAACAACAGAAGAGUGUCAUUGGGACGAUGCAGCGCUCAGUUCUGCUGCUCUGCAGCUGUG
ensembl:lncRNA